rnacentral:misc_RNA from 1 species
AGGACUCAUAAAGGGAUCUGUUGUUCAUUUCCAUCGUGCAAGAACUGUAUCUGUCCUAUCUGGUGGAACAAUUAGUGUAUCUGGGACGGGUCUGUUCUACAUAACUCUUUUUAUUAUGAUCAUUGCUCCUUGACAUUCUCUCUUUUUCUCUUCCAUGCUUACACACACAGAUAUUCUGUGUGCCCGCACAUGAAUUGAAUCAUGCUUGGAUGGUUUGAUAAAGAUAGAAUGCAUAUAUUACAGUGUUGUCAGCAGGCGCCCGGGUGAGGCGAAAUCAAGGCACCUAGCCUGGGAAGCCUCCAGGCUAGGCGACUUCAACCAGGCGCUGCCUAGGCGUCCAGGCAAGGCCUAGGCAAGGCUGCACAGGUGGGUUGGGUAGAGGUCAUUUUUUAGAAAAUGGCAUUGGCAGUGGUGGUGGCCAUGGCGGUAAAGGUGGGCUUGGAUGUUAC